rnacentral:piRNA from 1 species
UGUUAUCAAAUACCUACGAAACACUGUUA